rnacentral:rRNA from 1 species
UACGUAGGGCGCGAGCGUUGUCCGGAAUUAUUGGGCGUAAAGAGCUCGUAGGCGGCCUGUUGCGUCCGCUGUGAAAUCCCAGGGCUCAACCCUGGGCGUGCAGUGGGUACGGGCAGACUAGAGUGCGGUAGGGGAGAUUGGAAUUCCUGGUGUAGCGGUGGAAUGCGCAGAUAUCAGGAGGAACACCGAUGGCGAAGGCAGGUCACUGGGCCGCAACUGACGCUGAGGAGCGAAAGCAUGGGGAGCGAACAGG